AACGUAGGACGCAAGCGUUAUCCGGAGUUACUGGGCGUAAAGCGCGGGCAGGCGGUCACUCAAGUCUGAUGUGAAAUCUCUCCGCUCAACGGGGAGCAGCCAUUGGAAACUGGGCGACUGGAGUCUGACAGAGGUAGGCGGAAUUCCGGGUGGAGUGGUGAAAUGCGUAGAGAUCCGGAGGAACACCGAUGGCGAAGGCAGGUCUCUGGGCCACUACUGACGCUGAGAAGCGAAAGCAUGGGGAGCGAACAGG
rnacentral:rRNA from 1 species